GGUGUGCAGAAGCACCGGUGGCACAAGCGUAUGACCCUUUCGGGAUUUGCAAGAUGCUUAACUGUGCCCCACCAGUUACCGCCACGGAAUGCAGUUGGUAUGCAAAGUGGCUUAAUUGACCUACAGGUUGGUUGAGUUUUAAAACCCAGUACCCAUGCAAGAGAGAGGAAAACAGAUCUGACAGAUCCAGGAUGAGGCUGUGUGGUUUACGCAAACACGGACAAAAAACAUCCGGGGACAGAAUGGCCUCACGUGGAAAACGGCCUGGUGAUUAGACAGAUAAAUGGAUGGAUGGAUGGAUGGAUGGGUGUCAGCUGAGAGGGAGCAAGGGGAAAGGCAGACCCCAGGAGCUUUUGGAUUAUGUAUGUAGAACGCAACACCCUGGGCGUACGGAAGGUGUUCUAGACGGGCGCUGGACACUGACAAGUCAACCCAGGACCGGAGAAAAUGUGUCGAUUCUUUCUAAAGAGUUACUCCACACCUGGAUGUGGCGGAGUUGGCUGUAGAAGUCAUCAGUUGAGUUGGGUCACGAUGGAAAACAUUUGUGCACGAAGUCUGUAGUUGUUAGGUUCUGAGCGUGCACUGAGCCGUCAUAUUCCUGGCUUUGAAUUGCCACCCCAGGAAGGAACCUUGGGUGCAUUAUUUAACCUCUCUGGAUCUUGGUUUCCUCAUGUACGAAUGAAUGCCUGUUUCAUGGAGAGGCAUAUAGUUAGAACUUGGUCCCUGGUCGGGAUUACACUUGUGUGUAUUACUUUUUUUAACCUACUUUAAUCAUCAGGGAACAUGAUGCCAGGUCCCUGCUAGACGCUAAGGAUCUAGACUUCUUUGUUUCAUUUUACAAAUGUUUGCUGAGCACCUACUGUGUGCCUGGCAGACACUGCUAAGUCCUGGAGGUUGGACUUAGGGGAAAACAGACAAGACCCCUGCCCACAAGGUGCCUCUAGCCUGGCAAAGAAGACGGGCAUUCAAAUAAUUAAUGUACUUAGCAUAGACAGGUCUGUGAUGAGCCAGCCCAAUGGGCUGGACACAAAGAGUAUCAAGGCCUCUGCAAAUGGGAAAACCGAAGCACAGAAAAGGGAGACGUGCCCAGGUCCCCUCACCCCGUGGGUGGCGAGAGCCUCAACUGGAACACAGACCAGCCCGACUCCAAAGUCUACAUCCUUUCUCAACAACGCACAGCGGUGGCUGUGUGUUCCAAGCUUCUGGACGAAGACAUCAGGCUGGGCAGAGUUGAGAAGAUGCACAGACACAGAGGGAGUCAUUUUUCAGAGUCUCCAAUUUGGGAAAGAUGUAAUUUCUGGGAUCCAGAGGAGAGGAUUUGAGAAUAGUCAGUGCCUGCUGCCCCCCGAGGGGUGCUGGGUGAUUCUUGGUGGAUGGAUGUGGGUCUACGGGAGGACGUAACUGGGGAAAUGACAACGUCAGUACGUCUAGCCUUAUCUCCCAGCCUGCCGCUCUGUCAGAGGAAAUGAGGUUUGCUUGGCACAUCUACUCUUUAUGAUGUCAUUUUGGCUGUGAUCUGCGUGUCCUGCUUCCCUAGAUGCAGCAUCGGCAGAGUGUCCUUGGCAUCACCACACUCUUGGCAAGUGCUUCGCGUUUCAUCUAGAACUCAGAGACCGUUCUAGUUGCACAGAAGGCUGAGAACAAGACGGCCUCCAGCCCAGAGAGGUCUGGGCUGGCUGCCGGGGGCUGACUUCCCCAGGACUCAUCCCCAGCCCCUCCAACUGCACCCCU